rnacentral:rRNA from 1 species
UGGGAUUAGCUUGUUGGUGAGGUAACGGCUCACCAAGGCGACGAUCCCUAGCUGGUCUGAGAGGAUGACCAGCCACACUGGAACUGAGACACGGUCCAGACUCCUACGGGAGGCAGCAGUGGGGAAUAUUGCACAAUGGGCGCAAGCCUGAUGCAGCCAUGCCGCGUGUAUGAAGAAGGCCUUCGGGUUGUAAAGUACUUUCAGCGGGGAGGAAGGUGUUGUGGUUAAUAACCGCAGCAAUUGACGUUACCCGCAGAAGAAGCACCGGCUAACUCCGUGCCAGCAGCCGCGGUAAUACGGAGGGUGCAAGCGUUAAUCGGAAUUACUGGGCGUAAAGCGCACGCAGGCGGUCUGUCAAGUCGGAUGUGAAAUCCCCGGGCUCAACCUGGGAACUGCAUUCGAAACUGGCAGGCUUGAGUC